rnacentral:tRNA from 1 species
GAGGGUAACAGCUCAGUGGUAGAGUGCAUGCUUAGCAUGCACGAGGUCCUGGGUUCAAUACCCAGUACCUGCA